rnacentral:rRNA from 1 species
UGGUGUCCUUUGGUCUGGUUCAACCCGCAUGAUCGGAGUUCAAACCGGAAAUAGAAAAUAUUCAUCAACGGAGGCAUUAACGUGAGUGUCCUAAGGUAGCGCGAUAAUUUGCCCUUUAAUUGGGGGAUGGGAUGAAUGGGUUUACGUGGGAGAUUCUGUGUCACAGGAUUAAGUUGAAAUUAUUUAUAAAGUGAAGAAACUUUAAUAAGGCAGAAAGACGACAAGACCCUAUGAAGCUUAAUUGAUAUAACUUUCUAAAACGAUGGUUUAAUAUUUCAAUGGGGCAUUAUAGAAUGGAGAUAUUCUAAUAUUCUGAUAGUCCUACUGGAUUUAACUGUGUUCAUAUAAUGAAAGCUUCUCUAGGGAUAACAGCGAAAUCUUUUUCGAUAGAUGACACUAGAAAAAAAGAUUAUUGACCUCGAUGUUGGCUUUAGGUAACCCUUGGGUUGAAUCAAGUUCAAGUGUGUGGGUUUGUUCAACCUUCAAUUUCCUAAC